rnacentral:lncRNA from 1 species
CGCUGGUUCUCGCUCUUGGCUGGAGUCCUUCUUGGCCGAGUCCCCUUGUCUCCCACCCCCCCGUUUCCAGGCGCUGGGAGGGACUGGGGGGGUGAGAGAAGAAAGGAGCCGUCUGAUCUUUUAAUAAUCAAAGUAAUUAGAAUAAUCCUUUUGGGGCUGAAUAGGGGAUUACGUCUUCCUGGGAGUGGAGUUCCAUCCUGGAUUGGUCUCAUCGAAAGGGGGGAGGAAGGGCGAAAAGCAUCUCCCUUCAAAAGCAGCCAGACCCUGUGCCCCCCUCCCCCGCCUUCAAGUCCUCGAGCCUUUUCUACCACGUGACCUGCCUGCCCUCCAGCGGGCCUGUAGGCCUUUCCAUGUCCAUCACCAGGAAAUGGAUGGGUUGGGCGGCUUAGUGCUGCCGCGCAGAGGUGGGGCGGAUGUUUGCGGGGCUGACCGGGGUGGGGGGGCAGGUGGCAUCACUUUUUUGGCCGGAUAGCGGAGGGACCUCCCCGUGCUCUAGGGAGCUGCUGUGGUUGUCUGGGCUGUGGCGCAAAAGGAAAGGCCUUCUGCAUUCCAGAGUAAUCCGAAAAUAAGAAUGUGAGUAACAAAAUGCUACGGCAGGCUCAGCAGAAGGAAGAGUGGUUAACAGCUGCUAUUCCAGACGACAGUGCAAUGCCUUGUCAUCCUGGUUUCAGGAGACCCCCGCCGCACUCAAAACACCCGCCAGAAACUCUGUCCUAUCUAAGGUACAGUAGAACUUGGUGGAUUGGACCAUUUCUAGAUGGAUCUACUUGACGGCCAUCUCCACCUCUAUUGCAGAGCCUGCCUUUAAGGAGGACCAGGCUUGGCAAGGAUGCAGCUGUAGCUCAAUGGUAGAGCAAACUGCCUGGAAAGCAGAGGGUCACUGGUUCAAUCCCCAGCCUCUUCCCAGAUGACGGCAAUAGCAAACCUCUUCUGUAUCUCUGCUAAGAAAA